rnacentral:rRNA from 1 species
GAUGAACGCUGGCGGCGUGCCUAAUACAUGCAAGUCGAGCGAACAGACGAGGAGCUUGCUCCUCUGACGUUAGCGUCGGACGGGUGAGUAACACGUGGAUAACCUACCUAUAAGACUGGGAUAACUUCGUGAAACCGGAGCUAAUACCGGAUAAUAUAUUGAACCGCAUGGUUCAAUAGUGAAAGACGGUUUUGCUGUCACUUAUAGAUGGAUCCGCGCCGCAUUAGCUAGUUGGUAAGGUAACGGCUUACCAAGGCAACGAUGCGUAGCCGACCUGAGAGGGUGAUCGGCCACACUGGAACUGAGACACGGUCCAGACUCCUACGGGAGGCAGCAGUAGGGAAUCUUCCGCAAUGGGCGAAAGCUUGACGGAGCAACGCCGCGUGAGUGAUGAAGGUCUUCGGAUCGUAAAACUCUGUUAUUAGGGAAGAACAAAUGUGUAAGUAACUAUGCACGUCUUGACGGUACCUAAUCAGAAAGCCACGGCUAACUACGUG